rnacentral:rRNA from 1 species
GUGAUGAAGGCCUUAGGGUCGUAAAGCACUUUCGCCAGAGAUGAUAAUGACAGUAUCUGGUANAGAAACCCCGGCUAACUCCGUGCCAGCAGCCGCGGUAAUACGGAGGGGGUUAGCGUUGUUCGGAAUUACUGGGCGUAAAGCGUACGUAGGCGGAUCAGAAAGUAGGGGGUGAAAUCCCAGGGCUCAACCCUGGAACUGCCUCCUAAACUCCUGGUCUUGAGUUCGAGAGAGGUGAGUGGAAUUCCAAGUGUAGAGGUGAAAUUCGUAGAUAUUUGGAGGAACACCAGUGGCGAAGGCGGCUCACUGGCUCGAUACUGACGCUGAGGUACGAAAGUGUGGGGAGCAAACAGGAUUAGAUACCCUGGUAG